AACGAACGAUGGCGGCAGGCUUAACACAUGCAAGUCGAGCGCCCCGCAAGGGGAGCGGCAGACGGGUGAGUAACGCGUGGGAACGUACCUUUUGGUUCGGAACAACUCCGGGAAACUGGAGCUAAUACCGGAUAAGCCCUAACGGGGAAAGAUUUAUCGCCGAAAGAUCGGCCCGCGUCUGAUUAGCUAGUUGGUGAGGUAACGGCUCACCAAGGCGACGAUCAGUAGCUGGUCUGAGAGGAUGAUCAGCCACACUGGGACUGAGACACGGCCCAGACUCCUACGGGAGGCAGCAGUGGGGAAUAUUGGACAAUGGGCGCAAGCCUGAUCCAGCCAUGCCGCGUGAGUGAUGAAGGCCUUAGGGUUGUAAAGCUCUUUUGUCCGGGAAGAUAAUGACUGUACCGGAAGAAUAAGCCCCGGCUAACUUCGUG
rnacentral:rRNA from 1 species